ACUAAAUAGAUACCCGGGUAGUCCACGCUGUAAACGAUGAGUGCUAGAUGCCGGAUUUUUCGGUGUCGCAGCUAAACGCAUUAAGCACUCCACCUGGGAAGUACGAUCGCAAGGUUGAAACUCAAAGGAAUUGACGGGGGCCCGCACAAGCAGUGGAGCAUGUGGUUUAAUUCGAUGCAACGCGAAGAACCUUACCUAGGCUUGAAAAGCUUAUGACCGGCUGUGAAAGCAGCUUUCCCGCAAGGGCAUAAGUACAGGUGCUGCAUGGCUGUCGUCAGCUCGUGCCGCGAGGUGUUGGGUUAAGUCCCGCAACGAGCGCAACCCUUACCAUUAGUUGCCACCGGAGCAAUCCGAGCACUCUAAUGGAACUGCCUACGCAAGUAGUGAGGAAGGUGAGGAUGACGUCAAGUCCGCAUGGCCCUUACGCCUAGGGCUACACGCGUGCUACAAUGGCCGCCACAACGGGCAGCAAAAUCGCGAGAUGGAGCGAAUCCCUAAAAGCGG
rnacentral:rRNA from 1 species